UUGACAGGAAUCGAAUCUAGGACCCCUCAAUCCGCAGGCAGACACUCUAUCCACUGAGCCAAACCGGCUAGGGCUAUUUGGUAGUUUCUCAUUAUCGGGAGAAAAUGAAAAUAUUUUAGAAUUCCUCCAAUGUACCUCUGGAUUUAACAGUCUACUUCGUAGAGACAACCCAGGCUCAAAUACCAUGUUCACAUACUGGACCAAUACCACAUGCUAACAAAUUAUUGUUCUCAAACGACUUCACAGUGAAAGUAGAAACAGACCCUCGACUGAAUAGUUUCUCUUUCCUGCAAUGUUCCUCAAUUGGGUGGCACUUCACCUAGUCGAGCGGAAUUCUGCUGUUUAAACACCUGCCCCAUCUGGAACAACAACCAACAAAAAAAAUCCAAAAAGAUCCUUGAGAACACAAACUAGGUACCACCAAACCUACUCUUUAGUUCCUGCCCCAAACAACAGAGCACAGCCCAACAAGUCUCUGCUUUCUCUCGGAGCCCAUUGGCUCCUCCGCUUCAUGACUUUUUCCAGCUGAUUCCAUGUUUAGAAGCUGGAGGGAAGGGAAGGGAAACUGGACAACAUCUACAAAAAGCGAAUAAAUGCGGGUGUCACGGCUGGGGAGCACCGUAACCUCUGAAUCUCCUCCAAGUAAGAUUUUUGUCUAAGUAAAUUCUGUACUUUGUGUUUAAAAA